rnacentral:rRNA from 1 species
CCUACGGGAGGCAGCAGUGGGGGAUAUUGUACAAUGGGGGAAACCCUGAUGCAGCGACGCCGCGUGGGCGAAGAAGUAUUUCGGUAUGUAAAGCCCUAUCAGCAGGGAAGAAGAAAUGACGGUACCUGAGUAAGAAGCACCGGCUAAAUACGUGCCAGCAGCCGCCGUAAUACGGAUGGUCCAAGCGUUAUCCGGAUUUACUGGGUGUAACGGGAGCGCAGGCGGCACGGCAAGCCUGAUGUGAAAGCCCUCGGCCCAACCGCGGGCCUGCAUUGUGAACUACCGGGCGGGAGUGCCGGAGAGGUAGGCGGAAUUACUAGUGUAGCGGUGAAAGGCGUAGAUAUUAGGAGGAACACCAGUGGCGAAGGCGGCCUACUGGACGGUGACUGACGCUGAGGCUCGAAAGCGUGGGGAGCAAACAGGAUUAGAUACCCCUGUAGUC